UGUAAUAUAUGCCUUUUUCUUUGAGAGGAUGGAAGAGGAGCAGCAAUGGGGAAGUCCAAGAUUACCUCAGAAGAAAACAAAGUUAGUGGAACGCAGGAGACAGCAAUACGUCAAACCCAGAGCACCUUAUCAGGUGGAGAGGAAAGCAAAAUCCACAUCUUCACAUGAUACAGAUCAGAAGAGGUUCAAAUGCGAAUGUCCCUACUGCCAGAAGUGUAUGGGGAACACUUCUGGGAUGUCCACAGGAAAGAAAGCAACCUCUUGUUCUUCCCCCUGGGAUAAGCUAACGCAAGACCUCAACAACCUGACCCUCAACCCUGGUACCACCCAGCCCCCUCUUGUCGAAGGAAGGUUACAGGAAAGGGAGGAGAAGAGCCAAAAGCAGGUGCGGUGGAAAAGCAAAAGGAAGUUUCAGAAGCUCCUCCAAGAAUAGACAGAAUAUCUCUGAGACUGUCACCCUCAGGGGAAGGCAGAACAGAACAGAUGAGACCAGGAGUGUCAACAUCACCAACUCCUAGGAACCUUUUGGACACAUGGUCAGGAGGAGUAACAGCAUGCAGCCCGAUGACCAACAAUCCCAGCAGCCAGCGAUUCAAUCCAGCUCCAGAAGUGUAGCAGCCUUUCCCCCAGCGGUUUUAACAUGCCCCCUGAGGCAUGCUGGGAGCAGUUGCUCCUUGGCAAGAGCAACCAGACAGCAAUGUUUCUACACCGUCCUUAGCAUUGCUCCCACGGUGUCAGCUGCCACUUGCCCUCCUUGGGUUUCAGUGGUUUCUCCCCACUUUUCCUGGCUGCUAAUAUGGUAACAAAUUUGUUUCAAAUUCGCAUCUUUGUAGACCACCAACUAUGGAAAGGGUAUCAAGUUAUCUAUGUUGCCAAUUUUCUUUUUUAUUUCUCUUCUAGGUUAUUCCCUAGAUUAGUCUGGCCAUUCAAAUCUUGGCCAGUCUGUUUUUAUCCCUUUUUCUAGCUUCUACAACAUCUCCACCCUCAUAUAUGUAGUGAGAAUGACGUGAGGACUGCGCCAUAUUGAUGCUGACAAGUUCUAUUCAGAUAACAUUUUUGUUACAGUGACUCUUUGAUAUCUCAAAAGGGGCUCAAAAAAGCAAACACUGAAAGCCUAUAGUUCUUAGACAUCGAAUAAUGAUUUUACAUUGUGAAACAAACAAUGGCAACAUGGGCACUAGUGGUUAAAUGCAGUUUAUUUGUUCCAAUGACUGUAAAACUUACCUCACUUUUUUAUCAGUCUGGCCAUUAAUGAAUGCAUUGUGUGAUCAGCCUUUUUAUGCAUGACACACCUAUGAGAAUGUCUUGUUUUCUUUUUAUCAAUGGCUCUUCAAUCUUUAAAUAAAGACAAUCUUUGUUUCA